GAUUAACGCUAGCGGCAGGCCUAAUACAUGCAAGUCGAACGGCAGCGGGUCCAGCAAUGGAUGCCGGCGAGUGGCGCACGGGUGCGUAACGCGUAUGCAACCUACCUUUAACUGGAGGAUAGCCCCGAGAAAUCGGGAUUAAUACUCCAUAAAAUUAUGAAGUGGCAUCUCUUUAUAAUUAAAGCUCCGGCGGUUUUAGAUGGGCAUGCGUGACAUUAGCUUGUUGGUGAGGUAACGGCUCACCAAGGCGACGAUGUCUAGGGGUUCUGAGAGGAUUUUCCCCCACACUGGUACUGAGACACGGACCAGACUCCUACGGGAGGCAGCAGUAAGGAAUAUUGGGCAAUGGGCGCAAGCCUGACCCAGCCAUGCCGCGUGAAGGAUGACGGCCCUAUGGGUUGUAAACUUCUUUUGUACGGGAAAAAACCCCCGGUCGUGAACCGGGGUUGAUGGUACCGUAAGAAUAAGCAUCGGCUAACUCCGUGCCAGCAGCCGCGGUAAGAC
rnacentral:rRNA from 1 species